CUGCUCAGCAGGGAGCCACCCACAGCCACAGGAGGAAGGAGGACAUUUGCAUGAGGAGCCCCCCUCCCUCAGGAUAAGAGAGGCCUGGGGGCCCUCCCAGCUGUGGGCUCAGAGGCAGAGCUCUGGGGUGUCUCCACCAUGGCCUGGACCCCUCUCCUGCUCCCCCUCCUCACUCUCUGCACAGGCUCUGUGGCUUCCUCUGCACUGACUCAGCCGCCUUCAGUGUCUGUAGCCCUGGGACAGACAGCCAGGAUCACCUGCCAGGGAGGAAGCUUAGGAAUACUUUCUGCAGACUGGUACCAGCAGAAGCCAGACCAGAGCCCUGCACUGCUCCUCUAUGGUGAUAGCAACCGAGGCUCAGGGGUCUCUGAUCGUUUCUCCGGCUCCCGCUCAGGUGGAACGGCCACCCUGACCAUCACUGGGGCCCAGGCUGAGGACGAGGCUGACUAUUUCUGUCUGUCUUUGGACAGCAGUGAUUACACACCCACAGUCAGCAUCUGCUCCUUCCUCAAUGCCUCCUCCCUCCUUCCAAGCUGGCCUAGGCCUGCAGGUCUCCAUGGAGAGUUAACUUCAGGGAAACCAUGUGGGAUCCAGCUGUCCCCACCAUGA